rnacentral:rRNA from 1 species
GACGAACGCUGGCGGCGUGCUUAACACAUGCAAGUCGAACGGAAAGGCCCUGCUUUUGUGGGGUGCUCGAGUGGCGAACGGGUGAGUAACACGUGAGUAACCUCCCCUUGACUUUGUGAUAACUUCAGGAAACUGGGGCUAAUACCCGAUAGGAGCUCCUGCUGCAUGUUGUGGGUUGGAAAGUUUCGGCGGUUGGGGAUGUACUCGCGGCUUAUCAGCUUGUUGGUGGGGUAGUGGCUUACCAAGGCUUUGACGGGUAGCCGGCCUGAGAGGGUGACCGGCAACAUUGGGACUGAGAUAAGGCCCAGACUCCUACGGGAGGCAGCAGUGGGGAAUAUUGCACAAUGGGCGGAAGCCUGAUGCAGCAACGCCGCGUGCGGGAUGACGGCCUUCGGGUUGUAAACCGCUUUCGCCUGUGACGAAGCGUGAGUGACGGUAAUGGGUAAAGAAGCACCGGCUAACUACGUG